rnacentral:ncRNA from 1 species
ACAUCGACGGGAAGGUUUGGCACCUCGAUGUCGGCUCUUCGCCACCUGGAGUUGUAGGUGGUUCCAAGGUUUGGGUUGUUCGCCCAUUAAUGUGGUACGUGAGCUGGGUUUAGAACGUCGUGAAACAGUUCGGUCCAUAUCCGGUGUGGGCGUUAGAGCAUUGAGAGGGAAAAGAGAAUAUGAUAAAGCAUUUUUUGUCUAGAGUC